rnacentral:rRNA from 1 species
UACGGGGGGGGGGUAAGCGUUGUUCGGAAUUACUGGGCGUAAAGGGCUCGUAGGCGCCAACUAAGUCAGACGUGAAAUCCCUCAGCUUAACUGGGGACUGCGUCUGAUACUGGAUGCUUGGAUUCGGGAGAGGGAUGCGGAAUUCCAGGUGUAGCGGUUGAAAUGCGUAGAUAUCUGGAGGAACACCGGUGGCGAAGGGCGGCAUCCUGGACCCGAUAUUGACGCUGAGGAGCGAAAGCCAGGGGAGCAAAGCGGG